GUGUACACAAGAUAGAGCUCUCAUCAAGUCUUAUUAAACUUUACAAUUAAAUCCACCUUCAAAAGUUAUUUCAUAAACUUUAUUUGUAUUAUUCUAAUAAAUGUAACCCACCUCUAUCUUUUACAUAAGCUGCACCUUUACUUGAAGUCCAUGAUUAUCUCAUAAAAGAAAGUUUUCUAAAAAAACUGACUGACAACAGCGGUAUACAAACUGGUUACAAGUAAAAGCAAAGUUUUUCGUGGUUCAUCGUUUAUAGGGCAGGUUCCUCUAAAUGGCUAUCUUGCCGCCAAAUCCGUUAAAUUUCAUCAUUAUUACUGCUCCAAAAUUAAUUAUUAAUGAGUA
rnacentral:rRNA from 1 species